AGGACACCUAAACUUCCCGCAAAAUACAUGCACCUAAGACUUCCACAAAGCUAGGGAAAACACUUAUGUACAGUAUAUAUAUAUAUAU